GGACUGCAGUGUAGGACUUUCCUGCAGAAUACCAUUUGAUCCUAUUAAGAAUUGUCCAAAUGUUGGAGCAUUUGAUUGAAAAAUCCUUCUUAGCCAUUUUAAAGAUAGCUUUCCAAUGAUUAGACGAAUUGAUUCUUUCUGUGACUCAUCAGUUCAUUUCCUGUAAAAUUCAUGUCUUGCUGUUGAUUUGUGAAUAAGAACCAGAGCUUGUAGAAACCACUUUAAUCAUAUCCAGGAGUUUGCAAGAAACAGGUGCUUAACACUAAUUCACCUCCUGAACAAGAAAAAUGGGCUGUGACCGGAACUGUGGGCUCAUCGCUGGGGCUGUCAUUGGUGCUGUCCUGGCUGUGUUUGGAGGUAUUCUAAUGCCAGUUGGAGACCUGCUUAUCCAGAAGACAAUUAAAAAGGCACAGAAGUUUACAGACAGUUUUGGAUCUUUGAUGUGCAAAAUCCACAGGAAGUGAUGAUGAACAGCAGCAACAUUCAAGUCAAGCAAAGA
rnacentral:sRNA from 1 species